CCACGCACACGUGCAGUAGCACGAGGCUCCCCAUCCUUCCCCCUACCCACACCCACACACACACGCACACACACCUUCAUCAUAGCCCGCACCUUUCGCCGUUUCGCCCGCUCUCUCCUUUCCGUGCGUGUGUGCCUCAGUCUGUUGCUCCGCCCGUCUCCCUUCUCCCCACUGUUCACUGGCCCACCCGUGCACGCACUGGCACACAACGCGUACUUCUUUAUUGAUGAAUAUGCGCUGCCGAGAAAUACUGAUUGCCGUGCUCGCGGUGACCUGCGUGGCACUGUCACCGGCUGUGGCCUACACCACCAGCCAAUGCCGCGAAGUGUCGCGGUGCGACGUUGACGGCACCCUCGUGUACGCCUUCUCUGGCGAGUGCGUAUGCUGUCCGGAGAUGCCGACCGGCGAUAUCCUUCCAGUGCAGUGCGUUCCCUCGACCGCGCACUGCCCUAGCGUGCCCAGCUGCAGAGCGUGCGACACCACCGCCGGGAUGUGUGACGCGUGUAUGACCGGCUACGUACUCGAGCCUACCAACAUCUGCAACGAGUGCUUGGCCUCGAUGUGCGACGUCUGUCAGUCGAGCUCCGAAGGCAAGCGCUGCAAGCUGUGCUCAGUAGGCUAUUACUGGGUGAGUGGCGGUGAGUGCCACGCCGUAUCCAAUAGCCAGGCCUCAGAAAGCAACAUGCAAUGCCGCGUCGCUUUCUGCAGCACUUGUGCCAGCCCUACCGCAAGCACCUGCGCCAAGUGCAACGACGGUUAUGCAACGGAUAGCAACGGGUUCUGUGUCAGCGACUGCAACGUCCAGCAGUGCGAUAUGUGCUACACGGGUAACUCCGCCGACUGCCAGUUGUGCUCUGCAGGGAACACGUGGAGUGCGACAGGCUGCUCAGCUGGUGCAAGCGGUUGUCGUGUCGGCCAUUGCACCACCUGUGUGGCCGGCGACAACACCAACUGCGCUACAUGCGAAUCGGGAUACACCCUCACCGCCGGCUACUGCUUGCCCCAGCAACUCUGCGCCGACGCCAACUGCGCCAGCUGCCCCAGCGACGCGGGCACGUGCACUCAGUGCGCGAACGGCUACGGUCUCGUGGACGGCGCCUGUGUGAGGUGCCAGGUGCCCAACUGCUUCAGCUGCGACAGCGACGCGAAUAAGUGCACACAAUGUGCGCCGAACUACUACCUCACCCCGCUCUUGACCUGCUCCCCGGUGGCCUGCAACAUCGAGCACUGCAUGCAGUGCGAUCCACAGACGCCGUCGCGCUGCCAGGAGUGCGUGGCCCCCUACGUGGUCGACAGCUAUGACGGCCUCUGCAGGCUCUCCGACGCCUGCUCCGUGCCCAACUGCAAGAAGUGCGAGCCCGAAACCUCCAGGCUCUGCGCCGAGUGCGACACCGGCUACACUCUCACCGCCGACGCGACGAGCUGCAGCAGUCCGACCACGCAGCCGUGCGAUGUGGAGCACUGCAACACGUGUGUGAACGGCGACAGCACCCGCUGUGCCUACUGCAACACCGGCUACUACGUCUCCGAUGGCAAGUGCAAGACCAUGCAGGGCUGCUACGUGUCCAACUGCGCACAGUGCAUGCUGCUUGACAGCACCAAGUGCUCCACGUGCAUGAAAGGAUACCUGCUCACGUCGUCCUACGGUUGCGUCUCGCAGAAAGUCAUCAACGGCGCGGCCGCGCCCUACUCUCUGUGGGUGGCCGCCGCCGUGCUCCUCGCCUCUGUUGUCACGCACAUAGCAUAGUGCGCAGCAGCAUGCGAGCAACCCCACUCCCAUUCUCCCACAACAUGUGCACACACACAGAGACAGCGGGGCAGCCCUCCCCCCCCCACACACACACGCACUCCCCCUUCUCUUGUUCUUCUUUCCUCGUUUCGCAUCUCUUUCUCGUGCGCUGGCGCCGGCCUCCUGCACGUCGCUCCCCUCCCCCUAACCUCUAUUCUCUCUCGCCGGCCUCAUUGCUUCUUACCCUUUUCCGAUCCUUGCUCGCGUGGGUGGCCACUGCCACAGUCCCGCAGCGCAGACACACGUGUUUACACGGCGGAGGCAUCUCUCUCCAUCACUUCUU
rnacentral:misc_RNA from 1 species